rfam:TPA: Bos taurus chromosome 12, whole genome shotgun sequence.
UUCCUAGUAGUUCAGCUGGUAAAGUACCUGCCUGAAAUCCAGGAGACCCUGGUUCGAUUCCUGGGUUGGGAA